rnacentral:tRNA from 1 species
GCGGCAGUAGCUCAGUGGUAGAGCGCCCGCCUCGCAUGCGGGGAGACCUGUUCGAUUCCAGGCUGCUUCC